rnacentral:rRNA from 1 species
UACAGAGGUCUCAAGCGUUGUUCGGAUUCAUUGGGCGUAAAGGGUGUGUAGGUGGCGCGCUAAGUCGGGUGUGAAAUUUCGGGAGCUUAACUCCGAAACUGCAUUCGAUACUGGCGUGCUUGAGGACUGGAGAGGAGACUGGAAUUCAUGGUGUAGCAGUGAAAUGCGUAGAGAUCAUGAGGAAGACCAGUGGCGAAGGCGGGUCUCUGGACAGUUCCUGACACUGAGACACGAAGGCGUAGGGGAGCAAAACGGGG